CUCCUGGAAACGGGUGGUAAUACCGGAUGCUCCGCUCCAUCGCAUGGUGGGGUGGGAAAUGCUUUUGCGGCAUGGGAUGGGGUCGCGUCCUAUCAGCUUGUUGGCGGGGUGAUGGCCCACCAAGGCGUUGACGGGUAGCCGGCCUGAGAGGGUGACCGGCCACAUUGGGACUGAGAUACGGCCCAGACUCCUACGGGAGGCAGCAGUGGGGAAUAUUGCACAAUGGGCGCAAGCCUGAUGCAGCGACGCCGCGUGCGGGAUGGAGGCCUUCGGGUUGUAAACCGCUUUUGUUCAAGGGCAAGGCACGGUUUCGGCCGUGUUGAGUGGAUUGUUCGAAUAAGCACCGGCUAACUACGUGCCAGCAGCCGCGGUAAUACGUAGGGUGCGAGCGUUAUCCGGAUUUAUUGGGCGUAAAGGGCUCGUAGGCGGUUCGUCGCGUCCGGUGUGAAAGUCCAUCGCCUAACGGUGGAUCUGCGCCGGGUACGGGCGGGCUGGAGUGCGGUAGGGAGACUGGAAUUCCCGGUGUAAC
rnacentral:rRNA from 1 species